rnacentral:rRNA from 1 species
CCUUCUAGUAGCUGGUUUCCGCCGAAGUUUCCCUCAGGAUAGCAGUGUUGAAUUCUCAGUUUUAUGAGGUAAAGCGAAUGAUUAGGGACUCGGGGGCGCUAUUAAGCCUUCAUCCAUUCUCAAACUUUAAAUAUGUAAGAAGCCCUUGUUACUUAAUUGAACGUGGGCAUUCGAAUGUAUCAACACUAGUGGGCCAUUUUUGGUAAGCAGAACUGGCGAUGCGGGAUGAACCGAUCGCGGGGAUAAGGUGCCGGAGUGGACGCUCAUCAGACACCACAAAAGGUGUUAUCAC